rnacentral:rRNA from 1 species
AUUGAACGCUGGCGGCAGGCCUAACACAUGCAAGUCGAGCGAGCGGCGGACGGGUGAGUAAUGUAUGGGGACUGCCCGAUUGAGGGGGAUUACUACUGGAAACGGUGGCUAAUACCGGAUACUAUCGGAUAACCCAUAUGGGAUUGGCUAGUAGGUGGGGUAAAGGCUCACCUAGGAGACGAUCGCCAGCUGGUCUGAGAGGAUGAUCAGCCACACGGGGACUGAGACACAGCCCAGACUCCUACGGGGGCAGCAGUGGGGAAUAUUGCACAAUGGGCGCAAGCCUGAUACAGCCAUGCCGCGUGUAUGAAGAAGGCCUUAGGGUUGGAAAGUACUUUCAGCGGGGAGGCGUUACCCGCAGAAGAAGCACCGGCUAACUCCGUGCCAGCAGCCGCGGUAAUAC